rnacentral:lncRNA from 10 species
CGCGGGGCUGGCGGGCGGCCGCGAGGCCUCCGCCACCGCAGGACGCUUCGCGAGGGACAGUUGGGGCCGAGAAGGCGCGGGUCCUGCGGGGCCCGGCCGACUUCAGGGACUCCGAGGGGCGCCCGCCAGCCGGAGCCCGCGAACCGCAGACUUCCCGCCUUCCGCAGCCCGGAAGGGAGCUGUCCGCACUCGCCGCGGCCCGCGUGGGAAGGGACCGCGCCUGGCUAUCGCCCCGCGCGGGGGAGGGGAAGUGGAGUGGAACCCAGCGUAGGGCGCUGCUCAGGGGUAGCCGGGUCAACGCUUUGCUUGGAGCUCACUAUUUGACCCUUCGGGUUAUUUUGAGGGACUCCAGUACUCAGUUCCCUGAUCGCGAUUUCUUUCUCUGCGCCCCAAUCCAGAAACAGCUGAGCGAGCUCUUUUGCAGUUCCGCUUACUCCCUCCCCAAAGCUUGCUGGGCUAGAGGACCCUUUUCCUGCUGUUAGGGGAGAUUUAUAUUCAAAGAGAUUCAAAUUCAAACGUAUUAUUUUCCAAUCCUCGCUGAAAGGGCCUUUCCCAAGGGCUCUUAUUAACUGUCCCCACCCCCACCUUGGGGAUUUUUCUCGCUCUGGGUUUCAGAAUCUUCUAUCCCAAGAUAGAUAACCACCUCUUCAUUGAUUAAUCCAACUACCAUCUGGAUGACUUUAAUUACAAUAAAUUUAAACUCACCAUGCACUCUGAUGUUGAGGGGUUUUGUUUGAGACUUGGAACUUCAGCAGGACUCUCUCCCCAAACAUUUCCUAUCUGAUCUCCAAGCUGCUUGGUGUGCGGUAAUUUAAUGACUAUUUGCGGUUCUUCUGUUGCAUAGCAGAGUUGUAUUUCUUGUAAUAACUCACAAGUAUUGAAACUAGGGAAUCGUACAAAUCAUCGUUUGGCCCUUGGGCCAUAAAUUUAAAGGUUAAAAUAACAGUAAAAUUUCUAUUUAAUGACCACCUCCUUUUAAAAAUCAAUAUUGGUUUAACACCUAUUAUGUGCUUAGCACAGAAAUCUAUCCCUCAAGAUAAGCAUAACAUAAAGGUUUAAGCAAAUCAGCCGUAGUGAAAGACCUAAUAAACUUGAUACGCUAUCUCUGAUGACCAUUGAAAAAGUUUAAACUUUGGUAAUAAUCUGGUGUUGGAUCUGCUAUGCCUUGCGAGAUUAAUUUUGUUCUGGAAGAUCCUGUUUUCCUCCUGGCGCCUACAUCCUUUUGUUCCUAUUCAUUCCUUUUUGCAAGUCUUUCUGCACCUGUGAUGCUUGGAGCCUGGUCCCCGGGUGGGGAAGCAAGGAAGUGAGUAGUCGUUAUUUACACAUGAAUUCAAACGUGUAGGCACAGCGACUUUGCCAAUUUUAUGUUAAUUACAAAAUGCAUUUACUGAGGAUAUCUUUGAAAAGUGGUUUUUCUUUGAAAAGGAAUUUGCGAACUAAUCUGAGUUCAUGCAGAGAAGUAACGUAAAUCUUCAUUACAUUUAUUUUUCUUCCUGCAAACUGGAAAUGUGGGAUCUAAAUUAAAAAGUUUUCACAACUAGCUAUUAUAUUUAUAAGUACUUUUGUGAGCGCUAAAGUUUUGUCUCUAUGAAAAGUAUAGGAAAUGGAGUGGCAUGCUAUAAAUGUUUUAUGACACUUAGUUUGAGAUACCCACAACUGGCACUCAGAGUGAGUUACGCAGGCAAUACCAAACAAGUGGCAAUAAAACCUUUAUAGUCCCUCACACCAUUAUGUAGUUUGUUUAUGUCACAUAAAUCAGGGAAAGAUAUUAAGGGAAAAUUCUAGUGAGUAUUUUUAGUAAUAUUACUCUGUCACCAUAUGUUCCUUUGCCAUUUAAAUGAAAUUUCCUUAGUUCACUCUAAAUCAGUACAAUUAUAUUUAUUUUCAAAUGUUACAUGUCUACAAAUAACAUCAUUACAUUUUUUAUCAAUACUAUUUUUAAUUGACAAAUCAUAAUUGCAUACAUUUAUGGGGUACAAUGUGAUGCUUUGAUAUAUGUAAAUAAAUCUUUUAAAAAUUUUGUACACUUGAU